rnacentral:rRNA from 1 species
UACGAAGGGGGCUAGCGUUGCUCGGAAUCACUGGGCGUAAAGGGUGCGUAGGCGGGUCUUUAAGUCAGGGGUGAAUCCUGGAGCUCAACUCCAGAACUGCCUUUGAUACUGAAGAUCUUGAGUUCGGGAGAGGUGAGUGGAACUGCGAGUGUAGAGGUGAAAUUCGUAGAUAUUCGCAAGAACACCAGUGGCGAAGGCGGCUCACUGGCCCGAUAC